CUACGGAGGGUGCAAGCGUUAAUCGGAGUUACUGGGCGUAAAGCGCACGCAGGCGGUCUGUCAAGUCGGAUGUGAAAUCCCCGGGCUCAACCUGGGAACUGCAUUCGAAACUGGCAGGCUUGAGUCUUGUAGAGGGGGGUAGAAUUCCAGGUGUAGCGGUGAAAUGCGUAGAGAUCUGAAGGAAUACCGGUGGCGAAGGCGGCCCCCUGGACAAAGACUGACGCUCAGGUGCGAAAGCGUGGGGAGCAAACAGGAUUAGAUACCCUGGUAGUCCACGCCGUAAACGAUGUCGACUUGGAGGUUGGGCCCUUGAGGCAUGGCUUCCGGAGCUAACGCGUUAAGUCGACCGCCUGGGGAGUACGGCCGCAAGGUUAAA
rnacentral:rRNA from 1 species